rnacentral:rRNA from 1 species
CUACGGGUCGCUGCAGUGGGGAAUAUUGGACAAUGGGGGAAACCCUGAUCCAACAAUGCCGCGUGUGUGAAGAAGGCCUGCGGGUUGUAAAGCACUUUCGGUUGGGAGGACUGCUUCUAGCACUAAUAUUGUUGGAAGUUGACGUUACCUUCAGAAGAAGCACCGGCUAACUCCGUGCCAGCAGCCGCGGUAAUACGGAGGGUGCAAGCGGUUAAUCGGAAUUACUGGGCGUAAAGCGCGCGUAGGCGGCUAGAUCAGUCGGGUGUGAAAGCCCCGGGCUUAACCUGGUAACUGCAUCCGAUACUGUCUAGCUUGAGUACAGGAGAGGAGAGUGGAAUUCCACAUGUAGCGGUGAAAUGCGUAGAUAUGUGGAGGAACACCAAUGGCGAAGGCAGCUCUCUGGCCUGAUACUGACGCUGAGGUGCGAAAGCGUGGGGAGCAAACAGGAUUAGAUACCCCUGUAGUC